GGCUGUGAGGGGAGGCGGCCGGCUGCGAGUUGUGCGGCCGGAUCCGGGCCUUCAGAACCGCGGAGAUACGGGUGCGCUCUGGAGAAGCCAACGCAGGGCCGCCGAAGUGCUAAAGGGACCGGGAACCCCUCCUGCGAGGAGAGGCUGAGGGAGCCGCGCCUGGCCUGGCCUGCCUGAAGGAGGCCCGGGGUCUCGUCGCUGUGUAAAAGUACUGGAAAGAACGUGAAGGAAGGGAGAGCCUCGCUCUUGUUUGUGCCAGCCGGAGCCAGGAGCGGAGGCAGUCUGUGUAAAUGAACACGGGAGGUUUCCCCUUGCCCAUCGGCAGCACUGCUGUGCUGCGCAGGGACGUGGCUGUGUGGACUGCAUGCAGAUCUCCACGGCUGGGGACCGGCACGGUGACCCCGAGCAGAGCGCCGAGAGCUGUUCUGUGCGGAGCAGAGCAGGACAGCGCUGUGAGCAGGCACCGUGCGCCCAGCCUGCCAGGGGCUCUGGCGUCCUGGGGUGCUGCAGCUCCUUCAUGCCAGCAAUUAACAAACUGCCUGGAAGCCAGCACCUCUGCUCUGCUGUCCUGAGAAGGUGCUGCCAGCAGGUGGUCUGCAGUUAGAGGUGAAGUGCAUCAAGACAUGCCUAGGGAUAGAGCACAGAUGACAGCACAGAAUGAGGCUAAAAUUGCAGGCUCCCCGCUGUCUGUGGUCUGUGUGACCAGCAAGUGAAACCCAGUCUGUGUUCCUUGCCGAAACAAUUGGGACAGCAUAGGAGGAAUUCAGACAGUUCCUCUUGGAGGCUGGAGAGCACCACUGGCUGGCACAGCCCAGCAGACUUAGCACCAAAUCCCUGAACGUGCCUGGCUUUCGGGGACUGGUAAGAUUUGGGGGUUGCCUGAUGACCCAAGUACACACACAACAGAGUGAGCUCACUGAUGUGCAGGUUGAUGUAAGUGUUGCCCUAUCUGUGUCAGUGGAAUCCGGAACAGAGGUUUUCUGAUCCUGUGUGGCAUCUCAUGGCCCAUGCAGUGCUGGGUACUGUUGGUGACAAAUCCAGAUGUGGGAAAGGCUGGAAUGCCAAAGGGUGUUGUACAUUAAGUAGUAUUGAUCUGCGUUUUCCUGUACUUUUUUUUUGACUUUUGAGCAUUUUGUGUGCUUAGCUUUGGAGCACACCUAGCUUGAGCCUGGACUUGCAGCUCCAGGCAGAUUUGCUGUGGGCUCUUGGUGUUUUGCAGGUUCUUUUCAAAUGGUAGUUUGGCUGAUGGGGAAGAUACUUAGUAUCCCAGAAGGGGGAACUGCAGGGGGUGACUGUAGUGGAAACAGUGAGUGCUGCUGUAGCUCUGCAAACUGCACAAACAAGGGAAGUUUAAAUAACAAAGAAAAGGAAACCUGCAACCUGUUCGGAGCAAAAGGGCCCACAGUUGAGUGAACACACUGAUGCAUUUUUUCCCCAGUCGUCACAGCAGAGAUUUACAGAAUGACAGGUUCUGGUCAGGGAUGCUGCCCUUGGCAUGUGGAGAUGCUUGGCUCCAUCCUUCCCCACUCCACUCCACUCAAAAGCCCUUGUUGGACUUGAACUUAAAGGUCUUUUCCAAUCUUAGUGAUUCUGUAUGGAGUAACAUAGACGAAACACAAGAAAAUCUCAGCCAGUUAACUGCCAGGCACUGAAACACGAGACUCCUGUUAAAAUUUAUGUAUUGUGUAAUUAAGGUAUUUUCUUGUUUUAUAAGUAAGCUCUUCUCCCCGUGUAAGCAGUGGAUAGCAGCAGGUGUGAGCGGGAAGCAGUCUGCACAGGGCUUGUGUGUGUACAUUGGCAGGUGCAUGCGUAGUCACUAGCCCUGCUUGCAGUGUCUAACCCUGUGUAGGUGUUGUAUUUUUCAUCUGCAUUAGAGAACUGUCAGAAAAUAAUUAGGCUCUUUCAACAGCUGCCCUACUCCCAGAUUACUGCUUCCUGACUCAUUAGAGCUGCUGAGGUUGGCAGGAAACUUGUUCUGUAGUAAUUUCUGCCAGCAGCGUCCCUGGAGAUGGGGCAGCCUUGUGUGUGACACCAGAUCCACUUCAGCCUCGUGAUGGAGGCACUGGGCCGCUGGAGGCCAGUGGGCGGGCUGCUAUUUACCAGAUCGUCAGUGCUGUCAUUAGCAACAAUCAGGAGUUUCCCGUUGCUCUGAUGGCUGCAUCAGCUGGGCACAUCAGCUGGGCACUUGAGCGGUGUGUGCCAUUUAUGGACUUCCCAACUAUUUGGCUAAUCGGGGUUUUGGAAGGAGUAAAGAGUGGGACUAUGUGACCCUAAGGAUGGACAUUCUGUCCCCGAAGAGCUUCAGAGCCACAUGGCAGCUUCAUCUCAUAGGUGACCGGUGCUACCAGUUCCAUCGGUCCCCAGAUUGUGUCAGCUAACAUCCAGGACCACAGCAGCCAGUUCUCACUGAUUUUCCUUGCCCACUUACUGCAUCAGCAGCUGUUGUUUUGUGCUCCCUGCUGUUCUGCUCAUGUCUGGGAUGCCCCAGCCAGGUACUGCUUCCCAUGCAGCUGCUGCAGCUCCCAUGAAAGCUGCAAUUAGAUAAAUUCUAGAUCUAGAUUCUGCUGACAGCUGUGGGAGUGGGGAGACAUAUCCUUUGUAAGUAUUCAUGUAAAUAAAUGCUGUGUUUUUGUGUCCCUUCCAUCUCCCUGUUGAAAACCCUUCUCCCACAUACAUGGCCAUGAUGGUUUGUGUUGUCAUGCGCUGCUGGAAUGUUGGCAAGCACGUGGUGGCACGAGGCAAUGCUCUGCUGCCCAGAGCUCAUCCCCGAGCACACAGCCAUGCUGUCACAGGAGCAGACCUUUCGGCACUUCUCUGACAACUUCUUUGCUGCUUGCUUGUCACAUUUCCUGAGCAGGUGACUGGAAUUUAUCAGGGCCUUUCACUACACCUCUUCUGUGAUUAUAAAAAGUCAAAUUAUUGUUAUUACAGCGUUAAAUACUGGGCAGAAUCAGCAGCUGCUGACCAGAGAGCAGGCAUUUAUGAAACCGGAAAGACAAGACGGUACUCAGCCACAUAAGUGCACCGCCUGGCCACGGAGAUCUGCCUUACAAAUAAGUUUAGGACAGAAGGAGAGUGAUUGCACAAUGUUUGUGAACUGGAAGCUUGAGUAUCAUCCAUGUUUAGACCACGAUGGAAUGAACGCUGCAGAAAACCCCACUGGCUCCCCCCCACCAGAUCUGGUCAGCAUUGCUCACACAUUGUUUGUCCAGAAAUUGUCACUUUCCUGGCGCAGUGCAGGAACAAUCGUGCUGCUUGGUCACAAUGCUCUGAACAAGAUCUUUGGCAGAGG